UACAGAGGUCUCAAGCGUUGUUCGGAUUCAUUGGGCGUAAAGGGCGGGUAGGCGGCCACUGCAAGUCGGUUGUGAAAUCUCCGGGCUUAACCCGGAAAGGUCAAUCGAUACUGCAGGGCUAGAGUGCAGAAGGGGCAACUGGAAUUCUCGGUGUAGCGGUGAAAUGCGUAGAUAUCGAGAGGAACACCUGCGGCGAAGGCGGGUUGCUGGGCUGACACUGACGCUGAACUGCGAAAGCUAGGGGAGCGAACGGG
rnacentral:rRNA from 1 species